rnacentral:rRNA from 1 species
ACUUCGCAUGCCCGCAAGGGUGACGAGGCAACCCUGAGUGCUCCAGAUUUAUCUGGAGCUUUUCUUAAGUGCAAAAAGCUUGAGGAAUAAAGGUCGGGUAAGGCCGGUGCCAGCCGCCGCGGUAAAACCGGCGACCUGAGUGGUGUCCGCGUUUAUUGGGCCUAAAGCGUUCGUAGCCGGAUGUGUAAGUCCUUAGGUAAAUCUGGCGGCUUAACCGUCGGAAUUCUAGGGAGACUGCAUGUCUCGGAGCCGGGAGAGGGCGCGAGUACUCCGGGGGUAAGGGUGAAAUCUUCUGAUCCUCGGGGGACUACCAGUGGCGAAGGCGCGCGUCCAGAACGGUCUCGACGGUGAGGGACGAAACCCUGGGGAGCAAACGGGAUUAGAUACCCCGGUAGUCCAGGGCGUAAACUAUGUCCGCUUGGUGUUGCACGCUCUUAGAGGGCGUGCAGUGCCGUAGCGUAGGCGUUUAGCGGACCGCCUGGGAAGUACGGUCGCAAGACUGAAACUUAAAGGAAUUGGGGGGGGAGCA